AGAGUUUGAUCUUGGCUCAGGAUGAACGCUAGCGACAGGCCUAACACAUGCAAGUCGAGGGGCAGCGCGGAGGUAGCAAUACUUCUGGCGGCGACCGGCGCACGGGUGAGUAACACGUAUGCAAUCUGCCUGUAACAGGGGGAUAACCCGGAGAAAUCCGGCCUAAUACCCCAUAACGACAUAUCUUCGCAUGGGGAGAUGUCUAAAGAGAGCAAUCUUGGUUACAGAUGAGCAUGCGGUCCAUUAGCCAGUUGGCGGGGUAACGGCCCACCAAAGCGACGAUGGAUAGGGGUUCUGAGAGGAAGGUCCCCCACAUUGGAACUGAGACACGGUCCAAACUCCUACGGGAGGCAGCAGUGAGGAAUAUUGGUCAAUGGUCGGCAGACUGAACCAGCCAAGUCGCGUGAAGGAAGACGGCCCUACGGGUUGUAAACUUCUUUUGUCGGAGAGUAAAGUGCGCUACGCGUAGCGUAUUGCAAGUAUCCGAAGAAAAAGCAUCGGCUAACUCCGUGCCAGCAGCCGCGGU
rnacentral:rRNA from 1 species